GAUGAACGCUGGCGGCGUGCCUAAUACAUGCAAGUCGAGCGAACAGACGAGGAGCUUGCUCCUCUGACGUUAGCGGCGGACGGGUGAGUAACACGUGGAUAACCUACCUAUAAGACUGGGAUAACUUCGGGAAACCGGAGCUAAUACCGGAUAACAUGUUGAACCGCAUGGUUCAACAGUGAAAGACGGUUUUGCUGUCACUUAUAGAUGGAUCCGCGUCGCAUUAGCUAGUUGGUAAGGUAACGGCUUACCAAGGCAACGAUGCGUAGCCGACCUGAGAGGGUGAUCGGCCACACUGGAACUGAGACACGGUCCAGACUCCUACGGGAGGCAGCAGUAGGGAAGCUUCCGCAAUGGGCGAAAGCCUGACGGAGCAACGCCGCGUGAGUGAAGAAGGUCUUCGGAUCGUAAAACUCUGUUAUUAGGGAAGAACAAAUGUGUAAGUAACUAUGCACGUCUUGACGGUACCUAAUCAGAAAGCCACGGCUAACUACGUG
rnacentral:rRNA from 1 species